rnacentral:rRNA from 1 species
GACGAACGCUGGCGGCGUGCCUAAUACAUGCAAGUCGAGCGGACGAAUCGAAAGCUUGCUUUUGAUUCGUUAGCGGCGGACGGGUGAGUAACACGUGGGCAACCUGCCCUGUAGACGGGGAUAACACCGAGAAAUCGGUGCUAAUACCGGAUAACACGAAAUGUCGCAUGACGUUUCGUUGAAAGACGGCGCAAGCUGUCGCUACAGGAUGGGCCCGCGGCGCAUUAGCUCGUUGGUGAGGUAACGGCUCACCAAGGCGACGAUGCGUAGCCGACCUGAGAGGGUGAUCGGCCACACUGGGACUGAGACACGGCCCAGACUCCUACGGGAGGCAGCAGUAGGGAAUCUUCCGCAAUGGACGAAAGUCUGACGGAGCAACGCCGCGUGAGCGAAGAAGGCCUUCGGGUCGUAAAGCUCUGUUGUUAGGGAAGAACAAGUAACGCAGUAACUGGCGUUACCGUGACGGUACCUAACGAGAAAGCCACGGCUAACUACGUG